rnacentral:tRNA from 1 species
AUGCAGAUAGCUCAGUUGGUUAGAGCAUGAUGAUGAUGAUGCCAAAGUUGCAGGUUUGAUCCCUGUCUGGGACAGCUGCAUA